AUUGAACGCUGGCGGCAUGCCUUACACAUGCAAGUCGAACGGUAACAGGUCUUCGGAUGCUGACGAGUGGCGAACGGGUGAGUAAUACAUCGGAACGUGCCCGAUCGUGGGGGAUAACGGAGCGAAAGCUUUGCUAAUACCGCAUACGAUCUACGGAUGAAAGCAGGGGACCGCAAGGCCUUGCGCGGACGGAGCGGCCGAUGGCAGAUUAGGUAGUUGGUGGGAUAAAACCUUACCAAGCCGACGAUCUGUAGCUGGUCUGAGAGGACGACCAGCCACACGGGGACGGAGACACGGCACAGACUCCUACGGGAGGCAGCAGUGGGGAAUUUUGGACAAUGGGCGCAAGCCUGAUCCAGCCAUGCCGCGUUCAGGAUGAAGGCCUUCGGGUUGUAAACUGCUUUUGUACGGAACGAAAAGACUCUUUCUAAUAAAGAGGGUCCAUGACGGUACCGUAAGGAUAAGCACCGGCUAACUACGUGCCAGCCGCCGCCGUAAUAC
rnacentral:rRNA from 1 species